GCCGUUAUGGUGUAGUGGUGAGCAUACCAGCUUGUUGGUGAUUUCCAUCGAAGGAUUGAGCAAUCGAACCUUCGUGGAAUUGCCUUCUGCGGGUGACCUAAGUUCGAUCCUUAGUGGCGGCG